UACGAAGGGUGCAAACGUUGCUCGGAAUCAUUGGGCGUAAAGCGCACGUAGGCGGCUUCGCAAGUCGGAUGUGAAAGCCCCGGGCUCAACCCGGGAAGUGCAUUCGAAACUGGCGGGCUUGAAUAUGGAAGAGGGUCGCGGAAUUCCCGGUGUAGAGGUGAAAUUCGUAGAUAUCGGGAGGAACACCAGUGGCGAAGGCGGCGACCUGGGCCAAUAUUGACGCUGAGGUGCGAAAGCGUGGGGAGCAAACAGG
rnacentral:rRNA from 1 species